rnacentral:RNase_P_RNA from 1 species
UUCGGUGGCUGGGUGAUCGCUGCUGCGCGCAAGCGUGGUAGAGGAAAGUCCGAACACCCUUCCCGAAGGAUUUCGGGAUGCCAGUGGUAGUCGCUAACAGCGACGGGGAGCAACGAUGUUGGAGUGUGCGCUAGCGCCUUCAGUAUCGCCAAACCCACGGAGAGUCUUUCGGUGGCGAUCGUCACCGGAGGGGAUCCCGCGCAGAUGGCGUAGGACCGUCUGCGCAUGGACCGCAACAGAAAACACACCGCCGGAACUCCUGCCUCGAAACGUUCCGGUAAGGGCGAAAUCGUGAGCCCCGACGCAAGUUGGGGAUAGCUCCGAUCAACCGGUCGGGGUAACGUAAGAGCUCACGCGGGACUGCCCCGAGAGGGGCGCCGUGGCAAACACCUACCCGGUGCAAGGGGAGUACCCCCGCAGGAGCUGCGCAGUAAUGCGCAGCCAAGAGAGAUGAUCAUCGUAGCGCCGCAAGGCGUGAGACAGAAUUCGGCUUACAGGCCACCGAACCGA